UACGUAGAGUGCAGGUGUUAAUCGGAAUUACUGGGCGUAAAGCGUGCGCAGGCGGUCUGCUAAGAGAGGUGUGAAAUCCCCGGGCUUAACCUGGGAACUGCGCUUCUAACUGGCAGGCUUGAGUGUGGCAGAGGGGGGUGGAAUUCCACGUGUAGCAGUGAAAUGCGUAGAGAUGUGGAGGAACACCGAUGGCGAAGGCAGCCCCCUGGGCUAACACUGACGCUCAUGCACGAAAGCGUGGGGAGCAAACAGG
rnacentral:rRNA from 1 species